rnacentral:lncRNA from 7 species
GUUAGGGGUGGGUUCUGCCCUAAAGGUUAUUUUUGUUGGCAUCCUAUGGUAAUAAUAGGUUUUUGUGCUAAAAAAUUACAGAAAACUAAGGGGUGGUUAUUUAGUUAUGCUUUUCUUAAGUUUAAUGCCAAAAAGGCACCUUCUACUACAUUAUUAUUUGAAAAAUGUCAAACAGCAGAUUUCAUAUUUUUCCUAAGUUCUCUCUAAUAAAACAAUAGUCAUCCCAAGGGUGGGGGUGUUUUUACCUUGGGGUCAUUUUUGUAGGGUUUUUCUAAGUUAUCCUUGUUUUAAUAAAAUAAAAGAUAUCCUACUUAAUUUGUACUAAACCAAGGUAUGAUAUAUUUUUCCAGUGAACUAUAUUGAAUAAGUAACCUAUCAAAAAUAGAAGUACUCUCUGGUUCAUUAAUUAAGUUGCAUUUUCUAUUUUCCUUAUCCUUAAGCAUAUUAUAGAAUAAAGGGUAAAACUAACUUAAAUGGAGUGGGCAGAGAGGUUUAACAUUUUUUACUUGGUCUAGUGGGUAGAUAUAAGUUUCCCAAAAUUUUUCUAACCUUAGUCAAACAAUAUUCCUAUUUUUCCUUCUCAUAUUGAGUUUUGAGUAGUUUUCUUAUUUAAUUUAAAACUUCAGAAAGAAAUACAGAAGCCAUGGGUUCUAUUAUUUUUAUUUGAUAGUUCAUGAAUUUCAGAAUCUAGCAAAAUUGGUUUGAACAUUUUUGGAUGAAUAUUCUUCAAGUUAUGCAUUUAUUUAGCUAUCUGUU